AAAGAAAAAAUACAAAAGAAAUAAAAUUGCAUCGGUGUCAGUCCGGAAUGACAUUUCGUUCACUUAAGGAAUGAGCAGUUUUUGGCGUUGGUUUUUCGUUUGUUUUUUUGUCGUAUUUUGUG
rnacentral:ribozyme from 16 species